rnacentral:rRNA from 1 species
UACGUAGGGUGCAAGCGUUAAUCGGAAUUACUGGGCGUAAAGCGUGCGCAGGCGGUGAUGCAAGACAGAUGUGAGAUCCCCGGGCUUAACCUGGGAACUGCAUUUGUGACCGCAUUGCUGGAGUGCGGCAGAGGGGGAUGGAAUUCCGCGUGUAGCAGUGAAAUGCGUAGAUAUGCGGAGGAACACCGAUGGCGAAGGCAAUCCCCUGGGCCUGCACUGACGCUCAUGCACGAAAGCGUGGGGAGCAAACAGG